CCCUUGGACGACGAGGAGAUCGUCGCAUACAUCUUGGUGGGCCUAGAUGAAGAAUAUGAUCCAGUUGUCUCGGUGAUUACCGGACGAACUGAAGCAGUCACCAUCGUCAACGCCUACACCCAACUCCUUAGUUUUGAGG
rnacentral:snoRNA from 1 species